UCCCGCCCUUCCCGCCCUUCCCGCCCGCAGCGAGCUCCCGUCAGUGAGUCCCCUCAGAGCGUUUUGUAGUGAAACUCUGAAAUACAUAUCCCUGAGUAAAAGCAGUACUCCUGUGGCCCUUACUCUAUGAUCCUUACCACUUUUCUAAGGGCAGUUGUUUGGUUUUCCAUCUGCUUCUUCUGUACAACUGGAGGGGUUUCAGCCAGCCUCUCCUUCAGCACAGGGCAUCCCGGCAGAAUAUGAAAAAGCUCAGUUCUCACCAGCCAUGACCAGCUGUUCUCCAAGGAUAGAAGUGACUGUGAGGUCAAGUUUUUCAAUGCAGAAAUUACAGGGAACAGAUUUCAAUACAGGACAUCAACACGGGCAGUGGAGAAAUGACGUAUUCAAUGUAUAGGGUCACUAUAAUUCAUUGUUCCAGUGACAUCUGUGAUAGACUGUGGAUCAAUGGCUGCCCUGCUGGGAGAACAAUGAAGAAGAGUAUAAACCAUUUAUAGAGGAAGGUGUAGCCUAGCUGGAGAAUGCUUUAAUAUGGAUGAGAGUCGUUCUCAUGAGAAAAAUCAUUGGUGAACUGAAAUUACUGUACAGAGAAAGAAGAUCUUGUGUGGCAUCCAAAGAAUAUAAGCUAAAACAGGAGCAGCACCUCAUAAAGAGUUUCAAGACAUUAAAAGAAGCAGCUUCCUCAGUUAGACAGAUCCAGACAUGGAAAUCAACUUUCUGCAGGCAUCAGGAUAAAUGAAGUUACAGAGUCUUGUUCAGAAUGAAUUUAUAUUGUUUUGUGAAGUAGCUUGAUUUUCCUGAUACACUGCUAAUGACCACUCAAUGUUUGAUAACUGAGAGCAGAUAAGGUGAUGCUAGCGGAUGGCCUACUUCCCUGAUGUAGUACAGCUUAGGUGUUUGACAUAUCUAAGAUCUAGUAACUUGGAGUCAGAGAACGCAGGUGAUUCGUGCCCAGCAACAUGUUGUUUUACUUCAAACUGAGCCGUAACAGUAAUGUGAUACAACCGGUCAGCAACAGCCAGCCUGCUUUCAGAGCACAGCCCAGGGAGGCCUGCGUAAUUCCAGCAGACAUGUCUGCAUGGUCCUGCCCUGAAUACCUUUGUUUAGGAUUUGAGGAAGGGGCAAAACUCCACCUACAGGACUCCCAAACUCAACUCCCCGACCAGUGGUACCAGGAGCUGACUAGGCUGUGGCGAAAGCUAUUGGAAGUAUGUAAAAUAUUGUGCAAUCUGGAUAUGCCUGCCCAUCAGAAGUAAGUUGCGCUUGUAGCACAGAUAUGCAAGCAUCAAACAGCUCUGUUCUAGCAGAUCGAGAUUAACAGCAAGGGCGGCAUAGCAGGAGCCAGCCUACGGACCCGCCGUGAGGGGGAACCACCCAGGAUGUGGAAGGCUGUGGUACGAGAUCCUUACCAGCAUCGUUCUCCAUGCUAGCUCAAUUAAAUCCAGCACAAAGCAUCCCACCACUCACCAUGUCCCGGUUUUCACAUGUGGAGUAUUGAAGAGAAAGCAACUCCAGUGAUGGAAGCAGAGGUGCAGCAGCUGCACACUUCGGUGGCAGUACUAGCAAAGCUCCAGCGCUUACAGACGUGUGUGGUGAACCUUCUGGCAGCGCACUGAUGCAACAGAGAAUGUAAUCCAGGACUGGUAUUUACUGAAAGUCAACAGGUCUGGAGUUCGAGGGCAAGGACACAGCCUACAGGUGGUGCUUUAUUCUUUGUGCUCGGUUGCUUGCCUGUGUGUUUGUUUGUUUGUUUUUAGUGUGAAAGGAAAUGCCACGCAUUGUUGUGGGCUCUGGUGUUCUGUCUUUCAUUCAUACAUCUGCUUUCAUUAGUUUGUCACUUCACUUACCUCAUGGGUUGGAAAGGUAAGUGAAAUGAAUUCUGUAUGUCUUCACAGAACGUCUUACUGGUUCCCUGUUUUGCAAAGCAGUGUUGAAGUCCAAGACAUAGACUGAGGAGUGCUUAACAACGUCGACGUUCUUCCUGAGCAAAUGAACAUGGGAGCACAUAAAAAGCGUGGCUUGGAUAGCACGGGCAGUAACGAGGGCUCUCAUCAUUUCUACCAAACUCUGUAUCAAACCUCCACCCCGCUAUGUUCGCGUGAAGGUUUCCCUUUGCUCCAUGCAAGGUAUAAAUAAGGGGUGCUGCUUCCAGUGAAAUGGAAAUGGCUGAGACAUGGUGCCAAGCUGUAGUUUGAUCCUGGUUUUGAUAUUCUGGAGCCAUUUUUUCAGUUGUCCUGCACACAAGGAUGUUAAUCGAGGGUGUGUACCACAGCGGCUCUGAGAGCGUGUCUUUGUUUUUUCUGGUGGCUGAAUGGCACAACCUGUUGAAUAAGACAUGAAGACUGUUUUACUUCAGGACUCAGGAAAUUUGAUUUUUUAUUUCUGAUCUCUAGCAGCUAGUUGGAGCUGGGGUUGGUUCAUCUCACUUCGCUAUUGAUUUUUUCCCCCACUCCUCUCAUUGCUGCCCCUGUUUGAAUGAAAGCUCUUUGGGGUGGGGGACCGUAACUCUGUAUUUGUAGAGAACUGGUCACGGAGGGGACUAGGGCCCCUGUUAGACUUCUUAACGGUUUCUGCUCUGUGAAAUUACGUUGAGCUCAAGGGGUACUUAAGCCUACCAAGUUCUGUGGGUCAGGUUUCUGUGUGCAUUGCCACCUUUAGCUGAACUCAAAGCAUUGAUUGAUCUCAAAAUAUUUUUAUUGUGCUCCGGAUGAAAGAGCCCUGGGUUUUGGUUGUGGACUGGCCUAUAGCUUACUCAGCCAUGCUCCUUCUUCAACCCUGCAGAUUCCCUGUGGGAGCUGGCCUGAGAUGCUAACUGUGCUCUGAGCUUCCUGGUGAGAACUCUGGAGACCUGCAGGGCCCAGGCUGGGCAACCUCGCGCUGCCGUGCGAACAGCGGGGCUGGCAGCUACGUAAGAGUGGCCCCACGCAACACCCCCGGAGGGAAGCCUGUGGAGGAAAAGCAGAGGGCAGCUGCGGCAGCUCAGCCCCAAGCGCUUCCAUGCCUCUGUCACCACCAGGCUGCAGCUGGCAGAGCAGAGCGCCCAGCCUUAGAGGUCUCGAGGAGGUUCCAGUGUCCCGAGUCCACCACCCCCGGCCUUGUGGUCAGCUGCCAUCGCCGAUGGGCAUUGCAGAUGCCGAGCACCUUUUUCCUCUGCGGGGUUUAAGCCAUUCUUGGAAGAACGUGCAGCUGGCACUGGCAGCUUCCCAGCACCGAAGCAAGGCAGGGUUUGGUAUUAGCGCUGUUUCCUCUGUUGGUGCUUUAGACAGCAAAGAUUCGUCUUAGUUAAAAACACAACUCAUAAAACAAGACAACUACCAGGUAAGAAAGAGUUUUGAAAAAGUAAACACCAUAUACACUUAUAAUACAACAGUGUAAAAUGAAAAAAAGUAUUUACAUGUUGAAUUUACUGUUAAUUUUUUUUUUUUUACAUUGGCUAGUUCUGUUUGAAAAGCAGAAUAUUAUGUUAUACUAGUUAGCUGCUCCAUAGAUAUGAAUGUUAUUGCUGUUGGUUUUUUUCCCUUCGUUAAGUCUUCUUUCAGUAAUAGAAACAAUGAGUAAUUAAACUGAAUAUACAAGUAAUAUAUUUUUAAGUACAGGGAGAGUCAACAGCCUGUAUGAAACACCUCUUCUCCCUUUUAACUUCUUAAAGGAAACUAAAGAGCAAAUGAAAUGAGAAGAUAUGACUUUACAAUUCCUACACUCACGGGUUGGAGUGCAACUGGAAUGCAGCAGGGACUCAACAGUAAGUCGAAAGAAGAGCAAUUCCAUCUGAAAGGGCUAACAAGUGUUUUACUGAAGUGUAGCAGACACAGAAAUUACACACAGAACUCCCUCACCUCAAGCACCUUCACAGAAUUUUUCCUCUAAAGAUUCCCACCUUUUUGACAGACAUUUUCUAGAAUUAGUGUCUCUAUGGCUUUAUGCUGAGAAAAUUAUUUUAAAAUAAAUUACAUGCACAGAAAUUCUGAAUUAAAAAUAAAUUAUAUAUUCUGCAGAAAUAAUUAAGAGUUUGUUGUUAACGUAUGCUUAGGAAAGUCAAAAUGAUUUAAGACAGAUUCCUAUCCUGUGAAACUCUCCUGUCAAUUCAUUGCUGGUGUAGAAGGUUUUUACCAGUUUUCUUGCACCUUUUUUAAUCACACUGAUUAUUAAACCUUAAUCUAUACAGACAUGUUUUACUAGGAUGUUUCCACUCAUAUGUUGUACUUAGCAGAAUUAUCACAAUGCAUGGCAAAAGAAGAAAAUGUUUUUUUUAUAACAGUAAGUAACUUCACUUUGGAAAAAUCUUUCCUGAAAUGUCUCACCCCAUUUAUGGGUGACACAGAGGUGGUGGUGGUUGUUUGACAGUUAAAGAACAGUAAAUAGUCUUAGCAAUUUUUUUCCUAAAAAAAAAAUGCAGAAUUCAUUUUGGAGGAUAAAAGCAUCAUAUGCGCAGAAGCGAUUGAGACAGCGAGUAAAUACGCACCCUCAGCCACAUGAAAGAACACCUAUGUUGUGCCACAGGUAAGGGGGUCGCGUGUGUUACAAAAAAAAAAAAACAACAAGAAAUGGAGCUGGACAUGCUGCCAUUUUUUGUUGAGUUGUAAGGGGAGAGACGCAAUCAAAGGUUGGGGGAAAAAAUGAACACCAAAAAAGACAGUUUCAAGGAAGCUGACAGUGGGCGUGGGAAUAGAUUUGUUCUAUGUGUAAUUUCUUAACGUGGCAGUAAAACAUAGCAAACAGAAGACUUGAAAUGCACAAUGAUCAACUAAAGCUAAAAUUGUUUAGUUUCCCUUGAAGAAAUAAGUGAAUAAUACAAAUCUGGAAAUCAUAAGGCUGAGAACAUUUUUUUAUGCAUACUGCAUAACAAAAUAAACCCUUUACAUAAGACAGUAAUAAUGCCCAUUAAUGAAUAUACGUAUGGCAGAGAUUUUAAUUCCAUGCAUAUGAUUUAAUAAUCGCAGAAAAAAAAACAUACAAAGAACCAAAAAAAGAAAAAAAAAUCCCACAUUAAAAAAAAAAAACAACACUGCCUAAGCAUAAUCAAAAAUCCUUUUGCAUUGCACUUUAGAGGAGGAGAUCUGCAUCUAGCCUCAGUCUCCAGCAUCCCAAACACACAGGGCAAGCCCUGUAUAAACGGACAGGUUCACGUAAUUUACUUGGUGUAACUGUUUCUUGCUCCCAACAGUUCUACAUUGUCCCAGUAAUCCUACGCGUUUCGUAUUUCGUCUUUUUGUACCUAAAAUAUAUAUGAACUUCUUUGUUAAUGCUCACAGUUAUUAUAAUGGUUAUUAUAAUGGUUUCAAGCAAACAGCUCUUGUUUAAAAAAAACAAAAACAAAAAACUAAUGUACUGUAAGUAAAUA